UUGCCUUCUAAUCUGGUUUUGGAGCAGUCGUCGCCCAGGCCUUGACAUUCUUCACACGGGUCGGUCAAAAAUAUCUUUCUCUCGCGGCCGGGGGAAGCCGACCCGUCGCCGUCGCUCCCAAAACAGCCCGAGCCGGCCCGCCUCCGCGCGGCGGCGCAGAAUGCCGACCGUCUGGGCUGUUUGGGUUUGGGCUGCUUCGACGCGCUGGGCCAGGGGGCGCCGACGCAUUCUUGGCUCGUCCGAGGGCGCUCACCUGCGUGACGGCCGGAGGUGAGCGGACUCGCGCCUCGAUUGUUUGUGCAGCGACCGCUUGCAGAUUUGAAGCCCCGCGACGACCGUUCAGGACCAGGUUGGACGCGUGCAAAAGGGAACGACCCAAGUGAGACGAGUCCGGCACCGAGAAUGAAGUCAUUACUCCUAAAGAAACAUAAAAAAAAGCCACCAAGACAAAGAUCUUAACUUCUAGAAAUAAAUCCUGUGGAGCUGUUUGGCCAUAACGACCAACAUUGCAUCAUGAACUAGACCGCUUCAUAAAGUAGAUGUCAUCAUGAAGAAAGAACAUUACAUGGAGAUAUUAAGGCACCAUCUCAAGACAUCAGGCAGGAAGUGAAAACUUGGGUGCCAGUUGACCAAGACCUUCAAAACUGGAUGGAGGAUAACAAGAGUCCCAGCAUGAGCUUGUGGAAGGGAACCCAGAACUUUUGAGCCAGAUCGUGCAGUUCAAAGGGAAAUGUCAAAUGUCAAAUGAUCUGAUAUGACUUCAUAGUGAAGAAAUG